GAUGAACGCUGGCGGCGCGCCUAACACAUGCAAGUCGAACGGUUAAAGCACCUUUUAGGUGUGUAUAAAGUGGCGAACGGCUGAGUAACACGUGGGCAACCUGCCCUCCUCUUGGGGAUAGCCUCGGGAAACCGAGGAUAAUACCCGAUACUUCAAUGUGGCCGCAUGACGACAUUGAGAAAGCUUUUGCGGAGAAGGAUGGGCCCGCGGCCUGUUAGCUUGUUGGUGGGGUAGAGGCCUACCAAGGCAAUGAUGGGUAGCUGGGUUGAGAGACCGACCAGCCAGAUUGGGACUGAGACACGGCCCAGACUCCUACGGGAGGCAGCAGUGGGGAAUCUUGCACAAUGGGCGAAAGCCUGAUGCAGCGACGCCGCGUGCGGGACGAAGGCCUUCGGGUUGUAAACCGCUUUCAGUAGGGACGAGGCGAUAAGUGACGGUACCUGCA
rnacentral:rRNA from 2 species